rnacentral:rRNA from 1 species
GAUGAACGCUGGCGGCGUGCUUAACACAUGCAAGUCGAACGAAGCACCUUGGACAGAUUCUUCGGAUGAAGUCCCUGGUGACUGAGUGGCGGACGGGUGAGUGACGCGUGGGUAACCUGCCUCAUACAGGGGGAUAACAGUUAGAAAUGACUGCUAAUACCGCAUAAGCACACGUGAUCGCAUGAUCGAGUGUGAAAAACUCCGGUGGUAUGAGAUGGACCCCGCGUCUGAUUAGCUAGUUGGUGGGUAAUGGCCCACAAGGCACGAUCAGUAGCCGGCCUGAGAGGGU